CCCACACCCAUAUGUGUAGGACUUCAAAUGAUCACUAUUAAAUUUGGUACAGAUUUUUGGAAAAGUUAUUACAUGGGUGUGGAACUUGACUUUUCUAAAGAUCUGUGCUAAAUUUAAUAGUGAUCAUUUGGAAUCCUACACACAUGGGUGUGAG
rnacentral:pre_miRNA from 1 species